AUUCAAUCAGCUGACUGCGCUCAAAGAACGAAUAAACUACAGCUGGUUAUAUUGAACUGGUUUGUUUCAGUUUCAUUUGUGAAUCUAACGUCGAAGAAAUAGUUUGUUUUUCGAGACGAAAGUUGAAGAAGAAAAUUAUCAACUACACUUCCGAAAAAGAAAUAUAUUUUCGUAACAGCAAAAAAAAAGUAAUUAAAAAUAAAAAUUUACUGGAGCAAAGUAAUAAAAUUAGAUACCCAGCAAGUUGCUUGUUUAUUUUCAUUUAAAAUAAAAAUUUGAGGAAAAAAAAUUGUCAGUUGUGUUGCAAUAGUUGAAAAUUCAAACGAGUUUACCCAAAAGGAAACUGUAUCAAGACAAGCAAAAAAUAAAGUAAAAAAAAUUGCGUGUGUGUGGAAAAGUUAAUUAUAAAGUGCAGUUUAUUUAGUGGAAAAUUUUAUUUGUGGAAAUUUAUAGACUCUCUCUUCGUCUGCUAUUUUCCUCCGUUCUUACACGGCCGAAGUUUCAUACAAUUUUAGUCGUUGUGUAAUUCGAGUGCAUAAACCAUUACAUAAACAAAUCGUAAUUUUCCAACAAGGAAACAUACAAUCAUCAUCAUCUGUGACCCAGUGAGCGCUGUUGGCUUCAUCUAUAUUUAUUAAAGUAAAUAAUCCACUGCAAUGACUUCACCAGCCAUAAAAGCAGACGAGAAAGCUCUAAAAGCAGCUCGCCAAACUGCUUCGUCAAAUCAACAAUCAAGUGAACCAACAUCAAUGCUGCCAUCUAGCAACACCACACAGUUUCAUACCAGUGGUUUUGUGUCUUGGCUAAAAGUUUUUCGAUUUUGCGAUUUGCUAAUGCGUCAAGGCUGUUAAUAGAAUGGAAAUGUUAAGCCGGGACAGAAACCGAAAAACCCUACAACAGUUUAUAAUAGUUUUAAGUCGUAGUGAUGUAAAUAAAUGAAUAACCUAGGAAUUUAGAAAAAAUGAAAUAAAAUUCAAUAGAAGAGAGCUGCAUUAAUUCAGGCAUUUUGCAUGUGCCAAAUUAUAUUGAGUAAUGAGUAUCCACAUUUAAGUUCAUUGAAUAAAUAUUUUCUUUUAAAAAUUU